rnacentral:rRNA from 1 species
CCUACGGGUGGCAGCAGUGGGGAAUAUUGGACAAUGGAGGAAACUCUGACCCAGCAACGCCGCGUGAAUGAUGAAGGUCUUCGGAUUGUAAAGUACUUUUCUAGGGGAAGAAGGAAGUGACGGUACCUUAGGAAUAAGCCUCGGCUAACUCCGUGCCAGCAGCCGCGGUAAUACGUGGGAGGCAAGCGUUAUCCGGAAUGACUGGGCGUAAGGGGUGCGCAGGUGGUUUGACAAGUUGGUAGCGUAACUCCGGGGCUCAACCUCGGCACUACUACCAAAACUGGCGGACUUGAGUGCAGGAGAGGGAGAUAGAAUGCCUGGUGUAGCGGUGGAAUGCGUAGAGAUCAGGAGGAACACCAGUGGCGAAGGCG